UACGCACGCUGGCGGCGUGCUUAACACAUGCAAGUCGAACGGAAACGCCCUUCUUUUUUGGGGUGCUCGAGUGACGAACGGGUGAGUAGCACGUGAGUAACCUGCCCUUGACUUUGGCAUAACGUCAGCAAACUGGGGCUAAUACCGGAUACGAGCUCCUGCUGCAUGGUCCGGGUUGGCAACCUUCGGCGGCUGGGGAGGGACCCGCUGCGUAUCAGCUUGUUGGUGGGGUAGUGGCUUCCCCAGGCUUUGACGGGUAGCCGGCCUGCGAGGGUGACCGGGCACAUUGGGACUGAGAUACGGGGCAGACUGGUACGGGAGGCAGCAGUGGGGAAUAUGGCACAAUGGGGGGAAGCCUGAUGCAGAGACGCAGCGUGUGGGAUGACGGCCUUCGGGUUGUAAACCGAGUUCGCCUGUGACGGAGCGUGAGUGACGGUAAUGGGUAGAGAAGCACCGGCUAACUACGUG
rnacentral:rRNA from 1 species